GAUGAACGCUGGCGGUGUGCCUAAUACAUGCAAGUCGAGCGAACAGACGCGGAGCUUACUCCUCUCACGUUAGCCGCGCACGGGUGUGUCACACGUGGAUCACCCACCUAUCUUACUGGGAUAACUUCGGGACACCGGAGCUAAUCCCGGAUAACCUGCUGAUCCGCAUGGUUCAACAGUGAAAUACGGUCUUGCUGUCUCUUAUAGCUGGUUCUGAGUCGCAUUAGCUGGUUGUUGAGGUAACGGCUUACCAAGGCAACGAUGCGUAGCCGACCUGAGAGGGUGAUCGGCGACACGGGAACUGAGACACGGUCCAGACGCCUACGGGAGGCAGCAGUAGGGAAUCGGCGGCAAUGGGCGAAAGCAUGACGGAGCAACGCGGCGUGAGUGAAGAAGGUCUUCGGAGCGUAAAACUCUGUUAUUGGGGAAGAACAAAUGUGUAAGUAACUAUGCACGUCGUGACGGUACCGAAUCAGAAAGCCACGGCUAACUACGUG
rnacentral:rRNA from 1 species